UACGUAGGGUGCGAGCGUUGUCCGGAAUUAUUGGGCGUAAAGGGCUCGUAGGCGGUCUGUCGCGUCAGGAGUGAAAACUCGGGGCUUAACCCCGAGCCUGCUUCUGAUACGGGCAGACUAGAGGUAUGCAGGGGAGAACGGAAUUCCUGGUGUAGCGGUGAAAUGCGUAGAUAUCUGGAGGAACACCGGUGGCGAAGGCGAGUCUCUGGACAGUUGCUGACGCUGAGGCGCGAAAGCCAGGGGAGCGAACGGG
rnacentral:rRNA from 1 species